ACGAUCGCGACGUUGGCCGAUAAGAAGAGAUAAAUGAGAAGAAGGAAGCACAUGGUGCACUCGGAGGCUGAGUGUGCACUGAUCUCGCGUGCGUCGGGAAUUUCUUCGCGUACACAGCGUGGCUCGAGAUAUUAUUAGAACUUACUUGGAUAUAUGAAUUUUGAUGGAAGAUUGUAGGUUCGGUAAACCUCAUCAGUGCGCGGACCAAGCGCGGUCAAUUUUUCACUUUGAUAAUCCGGAAAUUUUUCAUCACUACAAGAGCACGCUAAAUUUCAAGCACGGAAAUGGAAAUUUAUGCAUACAGACGUAGAUACGGGCCCCCUAACAGUUCUCAGAUUAAGGUCAACAGACUUACCAGGUGAAUGACUAUAAGACAACCGGACAAUAUUUUGAAUUCAAGUAGAAUUCACAUUAUAAACUGCACGAGUUAUGUUAUCGCACAAUACCGAUAAUGGAAAUUAUCUUUCUAACCAUUUCGAGGACAGCAGCGAUGAAAUGCGGUGAAUUAUCGUUAAGUAAGGCAAAGUGAUAAUACGUGAAUACUUUAUUUUCUCUCUGCAUGAAACAAACAUACUCGAUGUAUAUCUUACUUAUUUUAAUCUUGCUUAAACCACAUUACACCGUAUUAAUAGUUUCUGUAAUAAUAUCAUUUAUAAUUGAACUAGGCUAAUUGUUAUCGUAUAUUAAUAUUAACGAUUAAGUUUAACAUUGCUUAAAAUUUUCAUUUAAAUAAUUAUUAAUAUAAAAUACAGAAUUAUUUCACCAUUUAUAAAAUAAGAAUUAAAUAUGACAGAGAAUUCUAUCGUGUUGCAAAAUAAACGAUAAAUCGCAAUAAUGAUUAUGCUACAAUACGCUUGGUUACUCUGAUGCUUUCAUGUAAAAGAAUAAACAAUAACUAGUCAAUGUUAUAUUUGCUGAAGAAACAUUUUAAAAGUUUUAUACGCUACAUAAAUAGAGAAAAAACUGUCUCGAAAAAGAACUGAUAAUAAGAAUGUUUAAUUUAUAGAUUUACGUAUUGUGUGUGCAAUGCAAAUAAACGUAUAUAAAGACAUGCGGUCCGUUUUUUCAUUUCCACCUCCAUUAGCUAAGUCAAGCGACAACAUGCGUGUAGGUAUAGACUUAAUGAAACGAUUAUCAUCACCAGCACUUCCAGUUGUGGUCUGGCUACCAGAAGGAAAUUACUAGCUUGUGAUAAGAAAUAUAUCGUAUGCACAAGAAGUUGGAGGAGCUCAAAAGUAGUCGCGUCUAUAUGUAUGUAGAUUUUCAAAUUGUACUAUUACAGUGUUCGUGUUUGUCUAUUAUUUUAAAAUUCCUAGCUGUAAAUACUUUUUAGAAAAUAAAAUUCAUUGAAAAUAAAACUUGCGUAUAGCAAAGUGCGAAUUAGUGCUGCAUUUUAUAACUAUAGUGUUUAUGUU